rnacentral:tRNA from 1 species
GGGCUAUGGCUCAGUGGUUGAGCAUCUGCUUUGCAUGCAGAAGAUCCCAGGUUCAAUCCCUGCCAUUUCCA